AGGAAAAAGGCAAGUAGAUAAAGUCAUCGACAAGUGUGCCUCCAUGCAGAACUUACGUGAGGCAAUUGCCACUUAUCGCAAUAGCAUUUUACGUCAACCAGAUGAAAUGAAAAGGGAGGCGUUGCUUUCAUUUUUUGUGGAGUAUCUUGAGAGAUACAACUUUCUUAUAUGCUUUGCUGUCUACAUUCAUUCAGAGAAAUCAGCCCUUCAAUCUAAAUCUAUUGGUAAUAGCAGUUUUGCUGACUGGAUGAGAGCGAGACCAGAACUCUAUAGCAUUCUUCGCAGGGCAUUGAUCGUGAAAGAGUGGAAAGAAUGGAAGCUCGACUGAAAGAAGAUAUCCUGAGAGAAGCUGAACGUUAUGGAGGUGCCAUAAUGGUUAUUCAUGAAACAAAUGAUGGGAAAAUAUUUGAUGCUUGGGAACAUGUAAAUUUUGAUGCUAUUCAGACUCUGCUUGAGGUUUUUAAAUGCUUAGAGGCCGAUGCUUAGAGGCAGAUGGUAUUACUAAAAGGUGAUCUUGUUUCCCACUCUUUAGGAUUCCAUAAUCUGGUUUGUUGAAAAUUUAAAUAUUGCAUUAAGAAAUGGUGGGGAGUUUAUUUUCAUGUAAGAUGAUGCUGAGAUGGCUAUUUCAUCCUAUGCUUGCUAUUUUUUUUCCUUUGAUUAAAAUUGUCUCAAUAAAAAUAUUUUAGAUUUUUGUUGAUUUUUGGUACAACAUUCAGAAGUAGGGUCUUAUGUACUGCUUUUUAAGCUACUUUUUUUUUCUUUUUUUUUACAAGUAUAUUGGUAGCUACUUAUUAUUAAUAUUCCUUUCAGACUUCUAUAGUAAUUAGUAGCUUUUUAACCCAACAAUUUUUUUUAUGUGAAAUAGCAUGUCUACCUUUUUAAGCUUGUAUGUUCUAUUAUACCUACAUCAUUCAGGUUGUUGUAUUUGUUGGUGGUGUGGAUACCUCUGCAACUGAGACAAAAGGAACAGUUCUAAUUCAUAGUGCUGACCAGCUAUAAAAUUAUGCGAAAACUGAAGAAGCUAAAGUUGAGGAGCUUAUAAAGGCAGUUGCUGAUUCCGGUGCCAAAGUAAUUGUUAGUGGAGCAGCAGUUGGGGAGAUGGCACUUCAUUUCUGUGAGCGCUACAA